rnacentral:rRNA from 1 species
GGGACACGUGGUAUCCUGUCUGAAUAUGGGGGGACCAUCCUCCAAGGCUAAAUACUCCUGACUGACCGAUAGUGAACCAGUACCGUGAGGGAAAGGCGAAAAGAACCCCGGCGAGGGGAGUGAAAAAGAACCUGAAACCGUGUACGUACAAGCAGUGGGAGCACGCUUAGGCGUGUGACUGCGUACCUUUUGUAUAAUGGGUCAGCGACUUAUAUUCUGUAGCAAGGUUAACCGAAUAGGGGAGCCGAAGGGAAACCGAGUCUUAACUGGGCGUUAAGUUGCAGGGUAUAGACCCGAAACCCGGUGAUCUAGCCAUGGGCAGGUUGAAGGUUGGGUAACACUAACUGGAGGACCGAACCGACUAAUGUUGAAAAAUUAGCGGAUGACUUGUGGCUGGGGGUGAAAGGCCAAUCAAACCGGGAGAUAGCUGGUUCUCCCCGAAAGCUAUUUAGGUAGCGCCUCGUGAAUUCAUCUCCGGGGGUAGAGCACUGUUUCGGCAAGGGGGUCAUCCCGACUUACCAACCCGAUGCAAACUGCGAAUACCGGAGAAUGUUAUCACGGGAGACACACGGCGGGUGCUAACGUCCGUCGUGAAGAGGGAAACAACCCAGACCGCCAGCUAAGGUCCCAAAGUCAUGGUUAAGUGGGAAACGAUGUGGGAAGGCCCAGACAGCCAGGAUGUUGGCUUAGAAGCAGCCAUCAUUUAAAGAAAGCGUAAUAGCUCACUGGUCGAGUCGGCCUGCGCGGAAGAUGUAACGGGGCUAAACCAUGCACCGAAGCUGCGGCAGCGACGCUUAUGCGUUGUUGGGUAGGGGAGCGUUCUGUAAGCCUGCGAAGGUGUGCUGUGAGGCAUGCUGGAGGUAUCAGAAGUGCGAAUGCUGACAUAAGUAACGAUAAAGCGGGUGAAAAGCCCGCUCGCCGGAAGACCAAGGGUUCCUGUCCAACGUUAAUCGGGGCAGGGUGAGUCGACCCCUAAGGCGAGGCCGAAAGGCGUAGUCGAUGGGAAACAGGUUAAUAUUCCUGUACUUGGUGUUACUGCGAAGGGGGGACGGAGAAGGCUAUGUUGGCCGGGCGACGGUUGUCCCGGUUUAAGCGUGUAGGCUGGUUUUCCAGGCAAAUCCGGAAAAUCAAGGCUGAGGCGUGAUGACGAGGCACUACGGUGCUGAAGCAACAAAUGCCCUGCUUCCAGGAAAAGCCUCUAAGCAUCAGGUAACAUCAAAUCGUACCCCAAACCGACACAGGUGGUCAGGUAGAGAAUACCAAGGCGCUUGAGAGAACUCGGGUGAAGGAACUAGGCAAAAUGGUGCCGUAACUUCGGGAGAAGGCACGCUGAUAUGUAGGUGAAGUCCCUUGCGGAUGGAGCUGAAAUCAGUCGAAGAUACCAGCUGGCUGCAACUGUUUAUUAAAAACACAGCACUGUGCAAACACGAAAGUGGACGUAUACGGUGUGACGCCUGCCCGGUGCCGGAAGGUUAAUUGAUGGGGUCAGCGCAAGCGAAGCUCUUGAUCGAAGCCCCGGUAAACGGCGGCCGUAACUAUAACGGUCCUAAGGUAGCGAAAUUCCUUGUCGGGUAAGUUCCGACCUGCACGAAUGGCGUAAUGAUGGCCAGGCUGUCUCCACCCGAGACUCAGUGAAAUUGAACUCGCUGUGAAGAUGCAGUGUACCCGCGGCAAGACGGAAAGACCCCGUGAACCUUUACUAUAGCUUGACACUGAACAUUGAGCCUUGAUGUGUAGGAUAGGUGGGAGGCUUUGAAGUGUGGACGCCAGUCUGCAUGGAGCCGACCUUGAAAUACCACCCUUUAAUGUUUGAUGUUCUAACGUGGACCCGUAAUCCGGGUUGCGGACAGUGUCUGGUGGGUAGUUUGACUGGGGCGGUCUCCUCCUAAAGAGUAACGGAGGAGCACGAAGGUUGGCUAAUCCUGGUCGGACAUCAGGAGGUUAGUGCAAUGGCAUAAGCCAGCUUGACUGCGAGCGUGACGGCGCGAGCAGGUGCGAAAGCAGGUCAUAGUGAUCCGGUGGUUCUGAAUGGAAGGGCCAUCGCUCAACGGAUAAAAGGUACUCCGGGGAUAACAGGCUGAUACCGCCCAAGAGUUCAUAUCGACGGCGGUGUUUGGCACCUCGAUGUCGGCUCAUCACAUCCUGGGGCUGAAGUAGGUCCCAAGGGUAUGGCUGUUCGCCAUUUAAAGUGGUACGCGAGCUGGGUUUAGAACGUCGUGAGACAGUUCGGUCCCUAUCUGCCGUGGGCGCUGGAGAACUGAGGGGGGCUGCUCCUAGUACGAGAGGACCGGAGUGGACGCAUCACUGGUGUUCGGGUUGUCAUGCCAAUGGCACUGCCCGGUAGCUAAAUGCGGAAGAGAUAAGUGCUGAAAGCAUCUAAGCACGAAACUUGCC